GAGUUUGAUCCUGGCUCAGGAUGAACGCUGGCGGCGUGCUUAACACAUGCAAGUCGAACGAACCUUCGGGUUAGUGGCGGACGGGUGAGUAACGCGUGAGAAUCUACCCUCAGGAGGGGGAUAACGGUUGGAAACGACCGCUAAUACCCCAUAUGCCGAUAGGUGAAAUGAAUUUCGCCUGAGGAUGAGCUCGCGUCUGAUUAGCUUGUUGGUGAGGUAAUGGCUCACCAAGGCUUCGAUCAGUAGCUGGUCUGAGAGGAUGAUCAGCCACACUGGGACUGAGACACGGCCCAGACUCCUACGGGAGGCAGCAGUGGGGAAUUUUCCGCAAUGGGCGAAAGCCUGACGGAGCAACGCCGCGUGAGGGACGAAGGCCUCUGGGCUGUAAACCUCUUUUCUCAAGGAAGAAGAUAUGACGGUACUUGAGGAAUAAGCCACGGCUAAUUCCGUGCCAGCAGCCGCGGUAAUACGGGAGUGGCAAGCGUUAUCCGGAAUUAUUGGGCGUAAAGCGUCCGCAGGCGGCCUUUCAAGUCUGCUGUUAAAGCGUGGAGCUUAACUCCAUUAUGGCAGUGGAAACUGAUCGGCUUGAGUAUGGUAGGGGCAGAGGGAAUUCCCGGUGUAGCGGUGAAAUGCGUAGAUAUCGGGAAGAACACCAGUGGCGAAGGCGCUCUGCUGGGCCACUACUGACGCUCAUGGACGAAAGCCAGGGGAGCGAAAGGGAUUAGAUACCCCUGUAGUCCUGGCCGUAAACGAUGAACACUAGGUGUCGGGGGAAUCGACCCCUUCGGUGUCGUAGCUAACGCGUUAAGUGUUCCGCCUGGGGAGUACGCACGCAAGUGUGAAACUCAAAGGAAUUGACGGGGGCCCGCACAAGCGGUGGAGUAUGUGGUUUAAUUCGAUGCAACGCGAAGAACCUUACCAGGGUUUGACAUCCUGAGAACCUCUUAGAAAUUUGAGGGUGCCUUCGGGAAUUCAGUGACAGGUGGUGCAUGGCUGUCGUCAGCUCGUGUCGUGAGAUGUUGGGUUAAGUCCCGCAACGAGCGCAACCCACGUUUUUAGUUGCCAGCAUUUAGUUGGGCACUCUAGAAAGACCGCCGGUGAUAAACCGGAGGAAGGUGUGGAUGACGUCAAGUCAUCAUGCCCCUUACACCCUGGGCUACACACGUACUACAAUGCUACGGACAAAGGGCAGCAAACUCGCGAGAGCUAGCAAAUCCCAUAAACCGUGGCUCAGUUCAGAUCGUAGGCUGCAACUCGCCUACGUGAAGUAGGAAUCGCUAGUAAUCGCAGGUCAGCAUACUGCGGUGAAUACGUUCCCGGGCCUUGUACACACCGCCCGUCACACCAUGGAAGUUGGCCAUGCCCGAAGUCGUUACUCCAACCCUUGUGGAGGAGGACGCCGAAGGUGGGGCUAAUGACUGGGGUGAAGUCGUAACAAGGUAACC
rnacentral:rRNA from 1 species